CCAUUCUGGCUACUGCUCUGCCUGAAACAGAGAUUUGCAGAGUCUUUAAAACAAUUAAAGGUCAUUCUGUAAACAGAGAACCCAGAGAUUUGAAUGAGAGACUGUGACUACUCAGUAAAGAAGGACAGACUAUUUAUUUUCAGUGGAGAGUAAAUUUACCAAAAAAUGUAGCUAUGAUUGCUUCUCCCCAACACACAUCAACACCCCUUUCUUUUAUCUAAUAGUUUCAUGGUUAGUACAUUCACUUAGACUGUGAGGAACCCUGCCUCAAUUUCCUCCUCUUCCUUGAGCCAUCUGAAUUCAAAUCUCAUUUUUCUGCUCCAAACCACCAGGCUAUGGUACAUAGCUGCACAAUUAAAGAUUACAAAAACGAGUCUGUACUAAGGUCAGCUCUGGAAGAGCAACAUGCUGCUUUGUGUGCCAGCCAGGGACCACCUCCAAGGUCGGCGACAGAAGAACCUGGAUUCAGGUGCCACCCAAGAGGUGACCUGUAGGAGACACAAAAUCACAUACAGAAAUGGGGAGGCAUAAUGUUUUGGGGAACAGUGAGCUCUGGACAAGAUAUACUCAUAUCCAGGCAAUGUAUCAUUUGAGUCACCCUAUUAUAAGAUCUCCUCUAAAUGACCCUACUCGACUUUUCACACAUAAAUCUGAAUAAUUGAAACCUAAUCUACAGAUAUGAGAGAGACAACCAUUCAUUGAUCUUUCUUUUUUUUUGGCACAGAUUUUUAGGGUUUCACCACACUGUGUGCAAAGCUCUAAGAGGUAGAUUUGAGGAACAUCUUCUGAUGACUACUAUAUAGUGUCGUGGUGGGCCUCAUUGUCUCAGAGGAAGGAUUUUGAAGCCAGACACUCUACGAAUAGAGGAGCAAGUGGAAUUUAAGUUUUCUUCACCACAUGUAAGCUCUCAAAGAGAUAAGUGUGUAGAUACAAGGCAACUACCGCUUCCACACAGCUAUUGGGUUCUUUGAUUUCUGCACAAAGGGCUGAAAUGAAAUGUUUUCAUUUAAACCAAAGGAACAUCUGGUUUGACACAAGAAUAUUUUUUAAUUUGUUGGGUUACUGUAAGAAAGCUAAAAAUUUAAAGCUUGGCUGGAGCAAAACCUAAAUUUUUUACAAAUGUUUGGUUUUAUAACUGAGGCAUAAAAACAAACAAAAAUCUGUUUCUCACCGCUCAGCUUCUCAUCCUGGUAAAUGGUCUUUCUCCGGACCACCAGUUUUCUGGGGGUAUGAGAUGUCACCUUUGAUAGUUUCUUUAUUGGGAGGCUAGAAGAAUUCUGCUCAAAAGCAAAUAGAAGAAAAUCCUCUUUAGUGGCAAGCCUGAGUUUCUCGCAU
ensembl:lncRNA